GCCUGGUGGCUCAGUCGGUUAAGCAUCUGACUUCAGCUCAGGUCAUGAUCUCACUUUUCGUGGGUUCAAACCCUGCAUCGGGCU
rnacentral:tRNA from 1 species